AAAUCUUGAUAAAUAUGAGUUGAUAAACUUGGGAAAUUUGUCAUAUUAGGAUCACAAUUAAUUUCAGCUUCUUUUGUAGGUGACGAGAAACCUUAAGAAGUUAUAGUGUUUUCAACCAAUUUACAGAAUGAAAAGGAACUGGAAUUCGAGGAGUGAACUGAAUGUCUACACAAUAAAGACACAGAAUAUUGAAAAGGUCACCAGGGCAGCUGGAGUUUGGACCCAUGGCUACUGAACCAAUAAAUUCUGUGACACACAGAACUCCCUUUAAACAGAGGGCCACCAGCAACUGAGCAAUCUCAAUUCACCUGUUUCUACCCAGAGUUUUCAUAAGGUCAUCACCUCUGCCUAAGGAUGAUUCAAAGAAACCUGUAAUUCAUUGAUCACUUUCA